rnacentral:rRNA from 1 species
AUUGAACGCUGGCGGCAGGCCUAACACAUGCAAGUCGAGCGGAAACGAUCCUAGCUUGCUAGGAGGCGUCGAGCGGCGGACGGGUGAGUAAUGCAUAGGAAUCUGCCCGGUAGUGGGGGAUAACGUGGGGAAACUCACGCUAAUACCGCAUACGCCCUACGGGGGAAAGCAGGGGAUCUUCGGACCUUGCGCUAUCGGAUGAGCCUAUGUCGGAUUAGCUUGUUGGUGAGGUAAUGGCUCACCAAGGCGACGAUCCGUAGCUGGUCUGAGAGGAUGAUCAGCCACACUGGGACUGAGACACGGCCCAGACUCCUACGGGAGGCAGCAGUGGGGAAUAUUGGACAAUGGGGGAAACCCUGAUCCAGCCAUGCCGCGUGUGUGAAGAAGGCUUUCGGGUUGUAAAGCACUUUCAGCGAGGAAGAAGGCCUGACGGUUAAUACCUGUCAGGAAGGACAUCACUCGCAGAAGAAGCACCGGCUAACUCCGUGCCAGCCGCCGCCGUAACAC